rnacentral:piRNA from 1 species
UCUCUUGGGUGUACCCCUCAAGAGGAC